rnacentral:rRNA from 1 species
GAGUUUGAUCAUGGCUCAGAACGUACGCUGGCGGCACGCCUAACACAUGCAAGUCGAACGAAGUAGCAAUACUUAGUGGCAGACGGGUGAGUAACAUGUAGGUAUCUGCCCUUUGGCCUGGAAUAACACGAGGAAACUUGUGCUAAUACCGGAUAAGUCUUUACGGAGAAAGCUUUAUGCACCAUUGGACGAGCCUGCACUUGAUUAGUUUGUUGGUGGGGUAAUGGCCUACCAAGACUGUGAUCAAUAGCUGAUUUGAGAGGAUGAUCAGCCACAUUGGGACUGAGACACGGCCCAAACUCCUACGGGAGGCAGCAGUGGGGAAUCUUGCACAAUGGAGGAAACUCUGAUGCAGCGAUGCCGCGUGAGUGAAGAAGGCCCUUGGGUUGUAAAGCUCUUUCGUCGGGGAAGAAAAUGACUGUACCCGAAUAAGAAGGUCCGGCUAACUUCGUGCCAGCAGCCGCGGUAAUACGAAGGGACCUAGCGUAGUUCGGAAUUACUGGGCUUAAAGAGUUCGUAGGUGGUUGAAAAAGUUAGUGGUGAAAUCCCAGAGCUUAACUCUGGAACUGCCAUUAAAACUUUUCAGCUAGAGUAUGAUAGAGGAAAGCAGAAUUUCUAGUGUAGAGGUGAAAUUCGUAGAUAUUAGAAAGAAUACCAAUUGCGAAAGGCAGCUUUCUGGAUCAUUACUGACACUGAGGAACGAAAGCAUGGGUAGCGAGA